CAGACAGUAACAUGAUUGGAUGCUUUAUGUGUCAGUCAUAUGGCCUCUCACACAGUCUGUAUUAGACUUAAGUCACGAGUCACAGCAGACACUGAGAGCGGCCGAGAACGUCCAAAAAUGUGUCCGCUUCUCAACUAUUUGCAAAUAUCAUGAGAAAAAUGCUGGCCGACAGCCAAACAUUAAGAGAAGUUGGCAAGCCAAGAUUUUAACAUAUGCUUUCAACUGUUUGUGUAACUGGAGGAUUAUUGAACUGAAAUCAUCUGUCAUUUACUUUAAAUAUGUGAUUUAUUUAGAGCUGUGUUGAACAUUUGUUGAACUGUUCAGCUGUUUUGAACUUUAGGUGGUAAUAAAGUUUAUAUUAUCAUUAUUUUCAAAGGCAUUAAAUGUUCUAGCAUGACCCAAAGUAAAAGUGUUUUAGCACUGCCAGUGGACAAUGUAAAGCACUUCACACAGAACUUGUUUUGUGUCAUGUUGAGUAUUUGCACACAGCUGUCACGAUCACACUUUGCUGUGUAGCGCUGUGAUAACGGCUGUAGUGAGACUGAAAACUGAGAGGCAGAGCACCAUUUAUUUUUGGUUUAUAUUUUCGGCUUUUUUCUUUUAGCGGCCGAUGAUUUUGAAAUCAUCUUUGUGAUGACGAAAAACAGAAAAGUAAUAUUCUGAAUGUUCUGCCUUCUCGAAGUAUAACUGAGUUUGUGUCUUUUUCUUCUGAAAUAAAACCAAUGGACAAAACAAAACAAAUGAAGAAAUGAACAAUACCAAUGAAGAGAUGGAUGAAACUAUUAAAGAAAUGGACAAAACCAAUGAAGCAAUGGACUUUGUCCCUCUGUUGGUGUUUCUGCCUCAGUUUCUCAUUAUAGGAGCUGUAUGGAUCUGGUUUUUCAUCAGCAUGAAUAAAUUGAACUCAUCUAAAAACAAAACUGAUGACAAACAAAUAGAGAUGUUGCAGGUCUGUGAGUAGAUCAGCUGUCUGUCCAUCAGAACUACUGGAAUGAUGUCACAACUCUCUUUAUGACAUCAUCACCUAGCAACAGUCUCUCAGCAGUGACAUCAGUGAUGCAGUGAUGUCAUAUACAGUGACAUAUUAAUGACAGCUCAGUGUAAAUAAUCUAAUGCUUAUUCGUUGAAGUAUUGAGUUUAUCAUUCAACAGUCUUGUGUCAGUGUCAGAUCAACUGUAACAUCACAAUGCAUAAAUCCUGUAAAAACUUUGCUAUAGUUUUACAAGAUUGAAACAAUAAAUUGUCCAUGUUGAUUUGGGAUUUUUAGUGUUUUUGACAAACUAUAGGCCGAUGAAUGGAGAAGAUAAAACAAAGCCGAGUUUUGGCUAUUUGUUGAUAGGAAGACUUUCAUUUAUUUCACAUCUUUAUUUAUUGUGCUAUUCAUUUACACUGAACCGUUUACUCCUAACAAAAUGUGAUUUUGUAACUAUAUUAUAAAUGUUUCAUAAGUAAAUUUUAUAUACAUAAUUUGACCUGUAAUAUCACUGUUUUAUUUUUUUUUAAUCCACCAUUAAGGUAUAUUCUUUACUGUAAUUUCUUCCUUAUUUUCAUGUUUUUAAUGAAAUAGUAACAUUUUAAGUCUAAUGGUGGGUGGUGAUGGCGCAGUGGAUAAGACACUCGCCUUUGGUGUGAGAGACCCGGGUCCGAAUCCACUGUGACGCACCAUUGGGUCCCUGAGCAAGACACUUAACCCCUAGUUGCUCCAGAGGCGUGCGACCUCUGACAUAUUCAGCAAUUGUAAGUCGCUUUGGAUAAAAGCAUCAGCUAAAUGAAUAAAUAAAUAUGUAAUUCACUGUAAAGAUUAAAAUGUUUGCAUUAAACCAGUCUGGUGAAAAUGUUCUGCCAUCUACUGGAAAAAAAACACCUAAAUAACA